rnacentral:sRNA from 1 species
GAAUUGCGUGAGGGAUAGAAGCGGCAUCCUUUUGCGAAAUGAAAUGAAGCAAAAGAUACAGCGGAUAGCCCGACCGCAC